rnacentral:rRNA from 1 species
AUGGAUUGUAAUCCUAAGAUUGUGUUUUGGAACAUCCGCGGUCUGACCAAACGUAAUGUUGUUCGCUCCGUUGUCACUUCGGUCUCCCCCACCAUCGUGUGUCUCCAAGAGACCAAGCUCGAUACGGUCUCCCUGCCACUCGUCCUCGAGACCCUUGGCCCUUGCUUCGCUGAUUUCUUCUCCCUACCGGCUAUUGGCACCCGUGGCGGCAACAUUCUAGCUUGGAACCGCAACGAGCUCUCCAUUUCCAGCCCGUACAUUGGGCAACACCAUGCCACCGCCCUUGUUUCUACCACCACCGGAGCACACCCUUGGUGGAUCUCCGGCGUUUAUGGGCCGCAGGAGGAUGAUGACAAGAUUGCAUUCCUCCAAGAUUUACAGGAGACCCGUGAGACUUGA